GCCUGCGUUGAAAAUAUGUUUCAGUCUCCCUUCAGGAAAACUCACUGUCUUUGCCACCACUUCUAGGAGAGUAGAAAAAAUGAAUGGAGGACACCAAAUCUCCCUGAAGCACUGGGGAGAGGAUACCGGAAUUUUGUCUGACCUGUGGUUAUCACUCUUCUGUUAGUCCCUCAAAGCAGACCACAGCAGCUGGGGAUGGGGAUGAAGAUGAGCAAAGGCUGACUCUGAAGAUCAAUGCUCUAUGCACAAGAUUAUGCAGCUUCUUUAUUUGGCUCUGUUUGUUUGGACUCCACAGUGGUUCGAUAAGAAGCAUUAACGUGUGAAGGUAAAGCAAGAUCAAUUUAUGCACAUAGCCCUUUCUAUUUAUUCUGCAUGCUCUCAUAUAUUGCAGUUAUCA
ensembl:lncRNA